rnacentral:lncRNA from 1 species
UAACAACAGGCCAGACACGAUUGCUCCAUUAUGCCUGGACAGAUAUUCUCCAAGGAGAGUCUUUUACUCACAAGCCAGAUUCUUGUCUAUCCAUGUGUUGGACAGCUGAGAAUACAGCAAGCUGUUGAGUAAGAGGUUCAGAUAUUCAAGGAGGCCAAACUCUUAAAAUAUCAACAGAAGCAUAUCUUAAUUUUCUUAAAUUAUCUGAGGGCUGUGGAAAAAGGAGGCAGGGAAGAAAAGAGGGAUUUCCAGGAAUCUCAAAUAAUGUUGGU